rnacentral:rRNA from 1 species
UACGGGGGGGGCAAGCGUUGUUCGGAAUUACUGGGCGUAAAGGGCUCGUAGGCGGCCAACUAAGUCGGAUGUGAAAUCCCCAGGCUUAACCUGGGAACUGCAUCCGAUACUGGAUGGCUUGAAUCCGGGAGAGGGAUGCAGAAUUCCAGGUGUAGCGGUGAAAUGCGUAGAUAUCUGGAGGAAUACCGGUGGCGAAGGCGGCAUCCUGGACCGAGAUUGACGCUGAUGAGCGAAAGCUAGGGGAGCAAACGGG